GGGGCUCUUGCUGGGCCUGGGGAGGAGAGCAGGUGCAUUUUCAGGAGAAGAGAUACCCAUAAAAAAUACAGGAAAAAGAGUUUCACUCUUGUCUCCCAGGCUUGAGUGCAAUGGGGCAAUCUCAGCUCACUGCAACCUCCAUCUCCUGGGCUUUCGUACAUUUUGCUAUGAGUUGUCUUGCGGUUUUCAAUGUGGUUUUCUAUGUGGUCCAUUGAUCUUCUUGGAAUGUCUUCUCUGGAUACAACUGCAUACCCUGAUAUAUCCGCGAGGACUGUCCAGUCUGCUCAUAGGAAGUUGUGUGACUCCAAAGCCUGGACCUCACAGUUCAUUCAUCAAUCUCUGCCAUACUUGUGGAGUUUCAUCCCACUAUGAUAUUCAUGUUAUAGUGUUCAGCAAUGCUCAAGAGUAUCCCAAGAAUUAUCUGUGUUUUUAUUCUGUGUAGCUUGGAACCACCUUUUCUAUAUUGUGGUCCAAAAUGUUUCUCCAUCUAUAAAAUUGAGAAAAUAAUAUGUCUCAUCUCAUUUGUUCCCCUUUUGUCCCCAAGGAUCAUAGUCCUAAUACACCUGUAGUUCAAUAUCUGAAUAGGAUUCUUUUUCAUAUAUUUUGUACAAUUUUCUAGUUUUAAAUUUGGGCAUGUUGGAUUUUUCAGGGUGUGCCUAACAAGAUUUUUGCUGAAACAAAAGUAUCAGUGCUGUUCAUAGGAUUUAAAUAUAAUACAGGCUCUUAUAACGUAAUAUUUGAAGUGUCCAGGAUACAAUCCAAAUCUACUUGACAUAAA
rnacentral:lncRNA from 1 species